GCGCUUUGGCAGCACAUAGACUAAAACUGGAACGACACAGAGAAGAUCAACACGGGGCCAGCGCAAGGCUGACACACAAAUUUGUGAAGCGUUCCACAUUUUU